AGAUGCUCACUGGGCAUAAAGAGUGCGCAGGCGGUUUUGUAAGACAGAGGUGAAAUCCCCGGGCUCAACCUGGGAACUGCCUUUGUGACUGCAAGGCUGGAGUGCGGCAGAGGGGGAUGGAGUUCCGCGUGUAGCAGUGAAAUGCGUAGAUAUGCGGAGGAACACCGAUGGCGAAGGCAAUCCCCUGGGCCUGCACUGACGCUCAUGCACGAAAGCGUGGGGAGCAAACA
rnacentral:rRNA from 1 species